UGGGGAAUUGUUCGCAAUGGGCGCAAGCCUGACGACGCAACGCCGCGUGGAGGACGAAGAUCUUCGGGUCGUAAACUCCUGUCGAGCGGGAAGAACGUUUCGCGGAUGAAUAAGCCGCGGAAGUGACGGUACCGCUAAAGGAAGCCCCGGCUAACUCCGUGCCAGCAGCCGCGGUAAUACGGGGGGGGCAAGCGUUGUUCGGAAUUACUGGGCGUAAAGGGCUCGUAGGUGGCCAACUAAGUCAGACGUGAAAUCCCCAGGCUCAACUUGGGAACUGCGUCUGAUACUGGAUGGCUUGAAUUCGGGAGAGGGAUGCAGAAUUCCAGGUGUAGCGGUGAAAUGCGUAGAUAUCUGGAGGAAUACCGGUGGCGAAGGCGGCAUCCUGGACCGAGAUUGACACUGAUGAGCGAAAGCCAGGGGAGCAAAC
rnacentral:rRNA from 1 species